AGACAGCAACAUUUAUAAAUAAAAAUAAUAAAAAAGAAAACCGUGCCCGCUGUUUUAUUUGCUUUUUAGUGGUUCUUGUUUUUCUUGUGGUUGAUUGUUCUUAUCUUCGCUUUUCUUCUCUGUG
rnacentral:ribozyme from 1 species